GCCUGCUCAGACGGGAUUCAGGGGCUCAGCCUGGAGAGCUUGACGGCUCUCCUAAAGCCGGUGUCGCAGGUUCGAAUCCUGCCGAGGGCAC
rnacentral:tRNA from 1 species